UUCUAGUUAGCUCAGUUUGUAGAGCGCUGCACUGGAAAUGGAGAGGUCCUUGGUUCGAUACCAGGACCAGGCG
rnacentral:tRNA from 2 species